GACGAACGCUGGCGGCGUGCUUAACACAUGCAAGUCGAGCGGUAAGGCCCUUUCGGGGGUACACGAGCGGCGAACGGGUGAGUAACACGUGGGUGACCUGCCCUUAGCUCUGGGAUAAGCCUGGGAAACUGGGUCUAAUACCGGAUAUGACUCCAUGACGCAUGUUGUGGGGUGGAAAGCCUUGUGCGGCUAGGGAUGGGCCCGCGGCCUAUCAGCUUGUUGGUGGGGUGAUGGCCUACCAAGGCGACGACGGGUAGCCGGCCUGAGAGGGCGACCGGCCACACUGGGACUGAGACACGGCCCAGACUCCUACGGGGGGCAGCAGUGGGGAAGUCUUGCGCAAUGGGCGAAAGCCUGACGCAGCGACGCCGCGUGAGGGAUGACGGCC
rnacentral:rRNA from 1 species